UGUAGUUCCCUCCCCUCGCGCCUUCAUUUUAUUUUGUUUCCUUCUGCCUUCAUUUUUCCCCCCAAACCCUAAAUCGCUCUCUCCUCUCCCGGCUGCCUUCAUUUUCCCCAAACCCCUUCCUCGUGCCAUCUUAUUGUCUUAUUGGCUUCGUUAUCAGGUAUUUUUUUUCAUGUAAUUUUCUUAAAGUAGGUGUUUCUUACAGUAUGGCAUUCACAUCUUGAUAGUAAUUUUCUUUGUGUAAUUUGUGGGCUCAACGAGGGUCUUCCCCUGCUUGGGAACGAGGCGUCGAGGCUGCAUUUGUGGACUGAGCAAGGCAUUGAGGUGUCUUGUUGUUCGUUGAGGCGUCUUAUUGUUCGUCGAAGGUCGAGGUGCUCUGGCGCGUUCGCUCCCGCACUGACCGUCAAGUAUCCCUGUUAUUGAUAAAGGUGUGGCUCAUGAGUCUGUUGGAGUAAAACCAACGACCUUGGUUCCCAAAGAAAACCCUGUUAAAGAUAAACAUUGUCCCCAAAGCAACACUAAAUAAACAUAGGGAUAAUGAGUAGAUGGUGAGGAAAAUCUUUUGACUUGGUUGAUCGACUUAUUUUCACAGAUGGAGAGGCGUUGCUUGAGGAGACGCUUGAAGAAGGAAUCUUAGAGGAAGAAAAUCUCGUCGAUGUUGAAGUGAAGGCCGAACAGUAGUACGUUCGGUUAUCUGUUUAGUUUAGUUAGAUUAAGAGUGCUGUAUUAGAACGACCCCUCCCCUUUUUGAUUAAUUUGACCGUUCGGUAUUUCUAUUUUGUAAACCGUUCGGUCAGGUAUGCUUAGAUUGAACAUCUUUAUUUGUAGCAGCUUAUGUAAGGCCGUUCGGCCAAGAGCGUACUUUAUUCUCUUUAAUUGUAAGACUGAAUUGAUAUAUUAAUAUAUGUGAAUA